AUGGGAGGAAGGCAUACUCUACUAGAUUCUGUAGUGACUCAGAUCUCUCUCUACCACAUGUCCAUGUGGUUGAUGAACAAAACUUUUAUUGAAAGGCUGGAUAAACACCGGAGGAGGUUUUUCUGGCAGGGGUGCAAUAAGAAAAAAAGAUACCAUCUUGUUAAAUGGAGUAGAAUUUGCAGAUCCAAGGAGAAAGGAGGUCUAGGGAUCAAGGACCUGCACAAACAAAACAUCAGUCUCAUGGUGAAAUGGUGGUGGAAACUUGAGACUAAAAAUGGGGUGUGGCAAGAUAUUGUGUGUGCUCAUUACUUACGUAACAAAACGGUGGCUGAGGUCACCCCAAGAUUGGUCACCCCAAGAUUUUCUGACUCCCCUUGUUGGAAAGCUCUGUUGGAAGUCAAGGAGAUUUAUUUGGCUAGGCCGAAAGUUAACAUUGAGGCUGGUAAUGUGGCUAUAGUGUGGGAUGAUCCCAUCAAGGGGCUCCCUCCCUUCCGGGAACAAUACCCGCAUCUCUUUGAGAUCUGUAAUGUCCCUGGAUGCACGGUGAGCUAG
rnacentral:rRNA from 1 species